AGAUUGAACGCUAGCGGGAUGCUUUACACAUGCAAGUCGAACGGCAGCGCGGACUUCGGUCUGGCGGCGAGUGGCGAACGGGUGAGUAAUAUAUCGGAACGUGCCCAGUAGCGGGGGAUAACUACGCGAAAGCGUGGCUAAUACCGCAUACGCCCGUACGGGGGAAAGGGGGGGAUCGCAAGACCUCUCACUAUUGGAGCGGCCGAUAUCAGAUUAGCUAGUUGGUGAGGUAAAGGCUCACCAAGGCGACGAUCUGUAGCUGGUUAGAGAGACGACCAGCCACACUGGGACUGAGACCACGGCCCAGACUCCCUACGGGAGCAGCAGUGGGAAUUUGGACAAGUGGGGAAACCUGAUCCAGCCGAUCCCGGUCGUGUGCGAGUGGAACGGUCCGUUACGGGUUU
rnacentral:rRNA from 1 species